rnacentral:tRNA from 2 species
GCCGCGAUAGUUUAGCUAGGCAGAACAAAAGGCUGUGGCCCUUUAGACAGGGGUUCAAAUCCCCUUCGCGGCC